rnacentral:rRNA from 1 species
AGUGAACGCUGGCGGUAGGCCUAACACAUGCGAGUCGAACGGCAGCACAGUAAGAGCUUGCUCUUACGGGUUGCGAGUGGCGGACGGGUGAGGAAUACAUCGGAAUCUACUUUUUCGUGGGGGAUAACGUAGGGAAACUUACGCUAAUACCGCAUACGACCUACGGGUGAAAGCAGGGGAUCUUCGGACCUUGCGCGAUUGAAUGAGCCGAUGUCGGAUUAGCUAGUUGGCGGGGUAAAGGCCCACCAAGGCGACGAUCCGUAGCUGGUCUGAGAGGAUGAUCAGCCACACUGGAACUGAGACACGGUCCAGACUCCUACGAGAGGGCGCAGUGUGGAAUAUUGGACAAUGGGCGCAAGCAUGAUCCAGCCAUACCGCGUGGGUGAAGAAGGCCUUCGGGUUGUAAAGCCCUUUUGUUGGGAAAGAAAAGCAGCAGGUUAAUACCACGCUGUUCUGACGGUACCCAAAGAAUAAGCACCGGCUAACUUCGUG